rfam:Robinsoniella sp. RHS robin_c96, whole genome shotgun sequence.
UGAUAGCGUAGAAGUGUGAGGUUGCUGCAGUUUAAUCUGCAGGUUUUCCAUGGAGCGAAUGUCAAGUUAGAAAACUGGCGACAA